rnacentral:rRNA from 1 species
UGACGGGGGCCCGCACAAGCGGUGGAGCAUGUGGUUUAAUUCGAUGAUACGCGAGGAACCUUACCUGGGCUCAAAUGUAUGUUGACGUAUUCUGAAAGGGAUACUUCUUCGGACAAUAUACAAGGUGCUGCAUGGUUGUCGUCAGCUCGUGCCGUGAGGUGUCGGGUUAAGUCCCAUAACGAGCGCAACCCCUAUCAUUAGUUGCCAUCAGGUCAAGCUGGGGACUCUAAUGAAACUGCCUACGCAAGUAGUGAGGAAGGUGGGGAUGACGUCAAAUCAGCACGGCCCUUACGUCCAGGGCUACACACGUGCUACAAUGGCCGGUACAAAGGGCAGCUACCUGGUGACAGGAUGCUAAUCUCAAAAGCCGGUCUCAGUUCGGAUCGGAGUCUGCAACCCGACUCCAUGAAGUUGGAAUCGCUAGUAAUCGCGCAUCAGCAUGGCGCGGUGAAUACGUUCCCGGGCCUU